rnacentral:rRNA from 1 species
CCUACGGGUGGCAGCAGUGAGGAAUAUUGGUCAAUGGACGCGAGCCUGAACCAGCCAAGUAGCGUGAAGGAUGACUGCCCUACGGGUUGUAAACUUCUUUUGUAAAGGAAUAAAGUGAGGCACGUGUGCCUUUUUGUAUGUACUUUAUGAAUAAGGAUCGGCUAACUCCGUGCCAGCAGCCGCGGUAAUACGGAGGAUGCAAGCGUUAUCCGGAUUUAUUGGGUUUAAAGGGUGCGUAGGCGGAUUGAUAAGUCAGCGGUCAAAUCGUGGGGCUCAACCCCAUCCAGCCGUUGAUACUGGGGAGCUAGAGUGUACGAGAGGUAUGCGGAAUGCGUGGUGUAGCGGUGAAAUGCAUAGAGAUCACGCAGAACCCCGAUUGCGAAGGCAGCAUACCGGUGUACAACUGACGUUCAGGCACGAAAGCGUGGGGAUCGAACAGGAUUAGAUACCCUUGUAGUC